rnacentral:lncRNA from 1 species
GGAUUUCAAAGCAGAAUCUCACUAGACUGUUCAAACUUUUGAUCCUCCUGCCUCAGCCUCCCGAGUGCUGGGAUUACAGGUGUGAACCACCGCACCCGGCUUUUUUUUUUAAAUAAUGGAGUUAGGAGAAUUUUUUUUUUUCCUUUGCAAUGACCCUGAGAGGCAUCUUUACAAGAAGAGGCAGCUCUUCCGUUCCAGGAACAGAACUGGUGUCGCUCAUGUGAAGCAAGUCCUCUGAUACCCAGUGAGCGGCACACCAGCCCUUCCUUCCUCACGCUGAUUAAAUUAUUUCUGAGAGCAAAGCUCCUUAGCAGAGGGUGAUUACGCCCUCCCCAGGCGAUGCCGAGCUUCUGGCUUCUGAGGAGACCAGAGGGGCUGCUAACGCUUCCUCAACAGGGUCGCUACUCAAGGGUUAUAACUGUUGUGUAUCUCAAACACAUACUGAAAAAGAAAGAAAAAAAACGAAGAAACAAAAAUCAAAACAAUAACAACAACAAAAAAGAAGAUCCUAAAACAACCCAGACCCUGGCUGGGCCGUGUGAAUUUCAGAAUGGUUUUUCUACAUUCUAGGUUGUAAU